rnacentral:rRNA from 12 species
CAUGCUUGCUGUACCAUCCUGUGUGUGUCUGAUCCCAUUAGAUCUUGGAAGCUAAGCAGGGCUGGGCCUGGUUAGUACAUGGAUGGGAGAAUGCCUUGGAAGACCAGAGGCUACCAGAC